UACGAAGGGGGCUAGCGUUGCUCGGAAUCACUGGGCGUAAAGCGCACGUAGGCGGAUUGCUAAGUCAGGGGUGAAAUCCUGGAGCUUAACUCCAGAACUGCCCUUGAUACUGGCGGUCUCGAGUCCGGGAGAGGUGAGUGGAACUGCGAGUGUAGAGGUAAAAUUCGUAGAUAUUCGCAGGAACACCGAUGGCGAAGGCAGCUGCCUGGCCUAACACUGACGCUGAGGUGCGAAAGCGUGGGGAGCGAACGGG
rnacentral:rRNA from 1 species